CGAACGGUAACAUUGGUGCUUGCACCAGAUGACGAGUGGCGCACGGGUGCGUAACGCGUAUGCAAUCUACCUUUUACUAGAGUAUAGCCCAGAGAAAUUUGGAUUAAUCCUCUAUAAUAUCUUUAAGUUUCAUGACUUUUAGAUUAAAGUUUUAACGGUAAAAGAUGAGCAUGCGUCCUAUUAGUUUGUAGGUGAGGUAACGGCUCACCUAGGCUACGAUAGGUAGGGGCCCCUGAGAGGGGGAUCCCCCACACUGGUACUGAGACACGGACCAGACUCCUACGGGAGGCAGCAGUAAGGAAUAUUGGACAAUGGACGAAAGUCUGAUCCAGCCAUGCCGCGUGCAGGAUGAAAGCCCUAUGGGUUGUAAACUGCUUUUAUACAGGAAGAAACACUCGUACGUGUACGAGCUUGACGGUACUGUAAGAAUAAGGACCGGCCAACUCCGUGCCAGCAGCCGCGGUAAUACGGAGGGUCCGAGCGUUAUCCGGAAUCAUUGGGUUUAAAGGGUCCGCAGGCGGUUUUUUAAGUCAGAGGUGAAAGCCUACAGCUCAACUGUAGAACGGCCUUUGAUACUGAAAAACUUGAGUUAUUAUGAAGUGGUUAGAAUGUGUGGUGUAGCGGUGAAAUGCAUAGAUAUCACACAGAAUACCGAUUGCGAAGGCAGAUCACUAAUAAUAUACUGACGCCCAUGGACGAAAGCGUGGGGAGCGAACAGGAUUAGAUACCCUGGUAGUCCACGCCAUAAACGAUGGAUACUAGCUGUUCGUCUAACAUUGGUUAGAUGAGUGGCUAAGCGAAAGUGAUAAGUUACCCACUG
rnacentral:rRNA from 1 species